UACGUAGGGGGGCAAGCGUUGUCCGGAUUCAUUGGGCGUAAAGAGCGUGUAGGCGGCCAGGUAGGUCGGUUGUGAAAACUGGAGGCUUAACCUCCAGACGUCGACGGAAACCGCGCGGCUAGAGUCCGGAAGAGGAGAGUGGAAUUCCUGGUGUAGCGGUGAAAUGCGCAGAUAUCAGGAAGAACACCAAUGGCGAAGGCAGCUCUCUGGGACGGUACUGACGCUGAGACGCGAAAGCGUGGGGAGCGAACAGG
rnacentral:rRNA from 1 species